rnacentral:rRNA from 1 species
GGACGAACGCUGGCGGCGUGCUUAACACAUGCAAGUCGAACGGAAAGGCCCUGCUUUUGUGGGGUGCUCGAGUGGCGAACGGGUGAGUAACACGUGAGUAACCUGCCCUUGACUUUGGGAUAACUUCAGGAAACUGGGGCUAAUACCGGAUAGGAGCUCCUGCUGCAUGGUGGGGGUUGGAAAGUUUCGGCGGUUGGGGAUGGACGCGCGGCUUAUCAGCUUGUUGGUGGGGUAGUGGCUUACCAAGGCUUUGACGGGUAGCCGGCCUGAGAGGGUGACCGGCCACAUUGGGACUGAGAUACGGCCCAGACUCCUACGGGAGGCAGCAGUGGGGAAUAUUGCACAAUGGGCGGAAGCCUGAUGCAGCAACGCCGCGUGCGGGAUGACGGCCUUCGGGUUGUAAACCGCUUUCGCCUGUGACGAAGCGUGAGUGACGGUAAUGGGUAAAGAAGCACCGGCUAACUACGUG